AUCUAUGACCAUACCACCCUGAACGCACCCAAUCUUGUCUGAUCUUGGAAGCUAAGCAGGGUCAGGCCUGGUUAGUACUUGGAUGGGAGACGAGACUCUGCUUCAAAGAGU
rnacentral:rRNA from 1 species